GAUGAAGAACGUAGCGAAAUGCGAUAAGUAAUGUGAAUUGCAGAAUUCAGUGAAUCAUCGAAUCUUUGAACGCACAUUGCGCCCGCCAGUAUUCUGGCGGGCAUGCCUGUUCGAGCGUCAUUUCAACCAUCAAGCCCCCCGGCUUGUGUUGGGGACCUGCGGCUGCCGCAGGCCCUGAAAACCAGUGGCGGGCUCGCUAGUCACUCCGAGCGUAGUAAUACAUCUCGCUCAGGGCGUGCUGCGGGUUCCGGCCGUUAAAAAGCCUUAUUUACCCAAGGUUGACCUCGGAUCAGGUAGGAAGACCCGCUGAACUUAAGCAUAUCAAUAAGCGGAGGA
rnacentral:misc_RNA from 1 species